AGGAAUUGGCGGGGGAGCACCGCAACGGGAGGAGCGUGCGGUUUAAUUGGAUUCAACACCGGAAAACUCACCAAGGGAGACCAUCACAUGAAAGCCAGGCUAAUGACUUUGCUUGAUUCUUGGAGAAGUGGUGCAUGGCCAUCGUCAGUUCGUACUGUAAAGCGUUCUCUUAAGUGAGAUAACGAACAAGACCCUCACUUAUAAUUGCUACUCGUCUGUCCGCAGACGAGGCACAUUAUCGGGACCGCUGGCGCUAAGUCAGAGGAAGGAGAGGUCAACGGUAGGUCAGUAUGCCCUGAAUCUCUUGGGCUGCACGCGCGCUACAAAGGGCGGGACAAUGGGUCCCUACACCGAAAGGUGGAGGCAAUCUCGAAACCCGUCCGUAGUUCGGACUGAGGGUUGUAACUCACCCUCACGAAGCUGGAUUCCGUAGUAAUCGCGAAUCAACAACUCGCGGUGAAUAUGCCCCUGCUCCUUGCACACACCGC
rnacentral:rRNA from 1 species